rnacentral:rRNA from 1 species
GUUGGGCCUGCUCGGUGAGAAGAAAAAUUUAACAGCUGCGGUAUUAUAACUGUACUAAGGUAGCAUAAUAAUUUGCCUUAUAAAUUAAGGCUAGAAUGAAUGGUUUGACGAAAAUUAGACUGUCUUUAUUUUAUUUGUUAGAAAUUAAUUUUUAUAGUGAAAAAGCUUGAAUAAUUUAAGGGGACGAGAAGACCCUAUUGAGCUUUAUUUAUUAAUAUUUAAAUAUAAAUAUAUAAUUUAUAUUAUGAAAAUUAUGUUGUAUAUAUAUAUAUAUGUAUAUUUAAUUGGAUUUAAUUUUGAUUGGGGUGAUCAAGGAAUAAAGAUAAAGUAACUUCCUUAAAAUUAAUGAUUGUUUUUAUGGAGUAAUAAACCAAGUUUUUUGCUUAUAAGAUAAGUUACCAUAGGGGUAACAGCGUAAUUUUUUUUGAGAGUUCAUAUUGAAAAAAGAGAUUGCGACCUCGAUGUUGGAUUAAAAAUUACCUUAAGG